rnacentral:rRNA from 1 species
UACGAAGGGUGCAAACGUUGCUCGGAAUUAUUGGGCGUAAAGCGCACGUAGGCGGCUCUAUAAGUCGGAUGUGAAAUCCUUUGGCUCAACCAAAGAAGUGCAUUCGAAACUGCAGAGCUUGAGUACUUAAGAGGAUCGCGGAAUUCCCGGUGUAGAGGUGAAAUUCGUAGAUAUCGGGAGGAACACCAGUGGCGAAGGCGGCGAUCUGGGAAGAUACUGACGCUGAGGUGCGAAAGCGUGGGGAGCAAACAGG